GCCUGGGUGGCUCAGUUAAGUGUCUGACUGUGGUUCAGGUCAUGAUCUCACAGUUUGUGGGUUCAAGCCCCACAUCGGGCU
rnacentral:tRNA from 1 species